UUGGAGGGCAAGUCUGGUGCCAGCAGCCGCGGUAAUUCCAGCUCCAAUAGCGUAUAUUAAAGUUGUUGCAGUUAAAAAGCUCGUAGUUGAAUUUCGGGGUCCUACCGUUGGUCGGGCUAUUGUCUGUACUGGCGUGUAGAAUUUCUACCUUCUGGGGAACUAUCAUGUUAUUAAUUUAGCGUGGUAGGGAACCAGGACCUUUACCUUGAAAAAAUUAGAGUGUUCAAAGCAGGCUUAUGUCUGAAUACAUUAGCAUGGAAUAAUAAAAUAGGACGGUGGUCCUGUUUUGUUGGUUUCUGAAUCACCGUAAUGAUUAAUAGGGAUAGUUGGGGGCAUUAGUAUUCAAUUGUCAGAGGUGAAAUUCUUGGAUUUAUUGAAGACUAACUACUGCGAAAGCAUUUGCCAAGGAUGUUUUCAUUAAUCAAGAACGAAAGUUAGGGGAUCGAAGACGAUCAGAUACCGUCGUAGUCUUAACCAUAAACUAUGCCGACUAGGGAUCGGACGAUGUUAACUUUUCUUGACUCGUUCGGCGCCUUACGGGAAA
rnacentral:rRNA from 1 species